rfam:Formosa sp. Hel1_33_131, complete genome.
GGGGUCGACUGGUAUUGACAGCGAGAUCUACUAAACUGUAAGCACGUCGUGUGAUGAUAUUGAUACACGUAAAAGGCCAUAUCACCAUUUAAACGGCGAGAAUAACUACGCUUUAGCUGCUUAAUCCGAAUUAUAGUAGGAUGAGCCUAGUCCCGCAAGGCGGGAAAGCUAAAUGUCUCCUGAAAGCCUUGGUUCACGGCGUUCAAUUUUGAGACAUCGUAAAUGUCAACCUAGAUUCUCUAAGGCUUUGGUAGGGAUUCGAAAUUAAAAAAGCUAAGGAAUAAGUGGGCCGUUUUUAGUCAGUUUAUUUCCGACAAUUAAAUAAAAACUAAACGUGUAGAAAGCUUUUUAUUAGCUUGUUUGGACCCGAGUUCGAUUCUCGGCGACUCCACUU